UACGGAGGGUGCGAACGUUACUCGGGAUCACUGGGCGUAAAGCGCGCGUAGGCGGUUCGUUAAGUGGGAUGUGAAAUCCCCGGGCUUAACCUGGGAAUUGCAUUUCAAACUGGCCGACUAGAGUACGGUAGAGGGAGGUAGAAUUUCCUGUGUAGCGGUGAAAUGCGUAGAUAUCCAGCGGAACACCAGUGGCGAAGGCGGCCUACUGGGCUCCACCUGACACUGAGGCGCGAAAGCGUGGGGAGCAAACAGG
rnacentral:rRNA from 1 species